rnacentral:rRNA from 1 species
GAUGAACGCUGGCGGCGUGCCUAAUACAUGCAAAUCGAGCGAACAGAUGAGGAGCUUGCUCCUCUGACGUUAGCGGCGGACGGGUGAGUAACACGUGGAUAACCUACCUAUAAGACUGGGAUAACUUCGGGAAACCGGAGCUAAUACCGGAUAAUAUAUUGAACCGCAUGGUUCAAUAGUGAAAGACGGUUUUGCUGUCACUUAUAGAUGGAUCCGCGCCGCAUUAGCUAGUUGGUAAGGUAACGGCUUACCAAGGCAACGAUGCGUAGCCGACCUGAGAGGGUGAUCGGCCACACUGGAACUGAGACACGGUCCAGACUCCUACGGGAGGCAGCAGUAGGGAAUCUUCCGCAAUGGGCGAAAGCUUGACGGAGCAACGCCGCGUGAGUGAUGAAGGUCUUCGGAUCGUAAAACUCUGUUAUUAGGGAAGAACAAAUGUGUAAGUAACUAUGCACGUCUUGACGGUACCUAAUCAGAAAGCCACGGCUAACUACGUG